rnacentral:rRNA from 1 species
UACGUAGGGGGCCAGCGUUGUUCGGAAUUACUGGGCGUAAAGCGCACGUAGGCGGCUUUGUAAGUUAGAGGUGAAAGCCCAGGGCUCAACCCUGGAAUUGCCUUUAAGACUGCAUCGCUUGAACAUCGGAGAGGUAAGUGGAAUUCCGAGUGUAGAGGUGAAAUUCGUAGAUAUUCGGAAGAACACCAGUGGCGAAGGCGACUUACUGGACGAUUGUUGACGCUGAGGUGCGAAAGCGUGGGGAUCAAACAGG